CACCCCUUGGUGAAAAUUAUGCCGAAAAGAGCAGGGUUUAGUAGCAUUUGUCGAAAGACCUUGAGGCUAAUAAGAAA
rnacentral:ncRNA from 1 species